rnacentral:rRNA from 1 species
UACGGAGGGUGCAAGCGUUAAUCGGAAUUACUGGGCGUAAAGCGUGCGCAGGCGGUUUGUUAAGUCCGUUGUGAAAGCCCCGAGCUCAACUUGGGAAUUGCAGUGGAUACUGGCAGGCUGGAGUACGGUAGAGGAAGGUGGAAUUCCCGGUGUAGCAGUGAAAUGCGUAGAUAUCGGGAGGAACACCAGUGGCGAAGGCGGCCUUCUGGACCAGUACUGACGCUCAUACACGAAAGCGUGGGGAGCAAACAGG